CACGUAGGGUGCGAGCGUUGUCCGGAAUUAUUGGGCGUAAAGAGCUCGUAGGCGGUGUGUCGCGUCGGCCGUGAAAACCUGCAGCUUAACUGUGGGCUUGCGGUCGAUACGGGCAUCACUGGAGUUCGGCAGAGGAGACUGGAAUUCCCGGUGUAGCAGUGAAAUGCGUAGAUAUCGGGAGGAAUACCGAUGGCGAAGGCAGGUCUCUGGGCUGACACUGACGCUCAUGCACGAAAGCGUGGGGAGCAAACAGG
rnacentral:rRNA from 1 species